GACAAAUCACAAGGCAUUUGGUCUACUGUUGUGCAUUAGGAUCUACUGGAGAUUAACUGUCACACAACAAGGAUUAACAGAACAAAAAAUAUCCAGGUUCACGUAAUAACUUUAGAUACAGAAUGUGCAGAUAUCACUACAAUAGAUGAACUGAAGGCUUUCAGCAUCAAAAUAAUAUCUAUCUGGAGGAUAACAGCUGGUCUGAAAAUGCACAUUUCUAUAUGGCUUGUUAUAGUCGUGGCUACUGAGUUUUAAACGGCGUUGUUUUACUCCUUGCAACAUCUGGUCUACAACUUCAUUAAGGUUUAUGUGACAGGUAAUCGAAGACUAGGAAGUCACGUUUCUCGCCGUUAUGACUGGUUAGCUCAGGUGGAAUGUGGAUAAGCGAUACGCCAAACGUCAUUAAAGAUCUGGUAAUAUCUAGACGGCUCACUAACAUGGAAACAAACAACGCUUCGUAAAACACGACAGAAGAUGCUCCAAUGAGUCGUAGGAGAGGGAAGGAACAAAUGACCUAGGCAAUGUGGCUCAUAUACGACUUUAAGAUAAGCUUAUCGAUGAAAGAAUCUUGCGUGGACCCCAGUCUGGGUUCAGACCACACCUUGGAAGACAGGAGGCUGUUGGUGAGUCCACAUCUCUCUCCUCAGUGUUGCUGUUGUCUCUUCUUCUCUUCUUAACCCCCAGCCCUCAUCAGCUCAUUUUCUGACUGUUGUUUAGUAUCUGAUUGCAGUGAAGACUUUAUUGCCUGGAGUUCUACUUGACCAAAGUCAUUUAUGGGCUUUUCAUAAACUGAGUAAAUGUGUCACCUUAUAAAGAUUAAAUUUAAAAACGUAUUCAUUACUUCAGCAUCCAUUUCAGUUUGAAGUAACUUUUAGAUGUCUCUGCUUGUUUGCUAACCACUUUCAAGCACUCUGUCUCAAGAUGUGCUGUUCAGGUGCUACAGCUGACUGUAACACCUGAAACUGUGGAUAUGUCUUUGUUAUUCAAAUUAUAAUUGCUGCAUUGUCAAAGUAGUUAGUCUGCUCCAUAAUAUAUGCUGAAGUAGGCUGCCCCUUGUUGGAAGCCACUGGUGUAGAGAGUGUAUUCAUUUGUUUAUUCAUCCAUUAUCGGUACUGCUUAUCCUGACUGGCUGGAGCCAAUCUCAGCUGACAUUGGACGUUGUUUAUUCAUAUCUGGACAAUAAUAUUUUUUAAUGCACUGUAUCUGUCCAGGUUUUAAUUGAAACUACUAGACAACAGGUGGCACUGUUUACUGAUGUGUCUAUUAAACAUGCUUCAGGGAUUAGAGUGGAAUUAAAGUGCAUUUCCUCCCUGUCAUUUUAAAGACUAAAAGUUCUAACUCAACUAAUAUGUUUAUUAAUGCAGGUUUUUUCAGUUUUAUCUGCUCAGGCUUUGAAAGAUGUCUGAGAAUGAUGUUACAACCCAUGUUUAGUGGAAGUGAACUGAAUGUGUGGUGCUCAAAGCAAUAAAACUAAAAUUUAAAAAUUCAACAGCAACAUCCACAAACAGUGCCUCUGUUCCUUUUGAUAAUUCACAAACUGCAUGGUACAGCUUUCACCGGAAACUCUCUGUUCAAGAACUAGCCCCAGUAUGAAACAAUAAAAGUGUUGGUGUAUGUCUGGCUAAACUAGGAUAGGGUCCCUGGGAAAGAGAGGGAGGGCUGUUUCAGAGCAGAUGAGUGACACAGGAUGACCGGAUGUGUUUUUUUGUUUUUCAUUGCUAGAGGCUAGACCAGGAAACUGGAGCUCCUCAUCACACAACAGAACCGUAUUUGAUUUCAAAAGGGUUAGUUCAUCCAAAUUACAAAACCCUCUCAGAUGGUCUCUAGUUGUUGGGAGGUGAUUUGUUUUGACUGAAACUGGUUCUGAUGAAAACCGCAGUGACAACAGUAUGUGAACAUAAGAUUAAAGAACCAUUAUAUCUUCAAAGACAUUUUGCCAUUAGAUCAUUUUAGAGCUGACACCAUAAGCCCAUUAAUCACUUCGCUGCUCAACAAAUAAUUAGUCAGCAUCACAUGACAUUUCAGGAAACGGUAAUGGACAUUG